UACGGAGGGGGCAAGCGUUGUUCGGAAUUACUGGGCGUAAAGGGCGCGCAGGCGGCUGCUCAAGUCAGGCGUGAAAGGCCUGGGCUCAACCCGGGAAUUGCGCUUGAGACUGGGCUGGCUUGGGUGCGGGAGAGGAUGGUGGAAUUCCCAGUGUAGAGGUGAAAUUCGUAGAUAUUGGGAAGAACACCGGUGGCGAAGGCGGCGACCUGGUCCUUGACUGACGCUGAGGCGCGAAAGCGUGGGGAGCAAACAGG
rnacentral:rRNA from 1 species